rnacentral:rRNA from 2 species
GCGAGUGAAGCGGCAAUAGCUCAAAUUUGAAAUCUGGCGUCUUCGGCGUCCGAGUUGUAAUUUGAAGAAGGUAUCUUUGGAGCUGGCUCUUGUCUAUGUUCCUUGGAACAGGACGUCACAGAGGGUGAGAAUCCCGUGCGAUGAGGUGUCCAGCUUCGUGUAAAGUUCCUUCGACGAGUCGAGUUGUUUGGGAAUGCAGCUCUAAGUGGGUGGUAAAUUCCAUCUAAAGCUAAAUAUUGGCGAGAGACCGAUAGCGAACAAGUACUGUGAAGGAAAGAUGAAAAGAACUUUGAAAAGAGAGUGAAAAAGUACGUGAAAUUGUUGAAAGGGAAGGGCUUGAGGUCAGACUUGGUUUACCAGGCCAGCAUCAGUUUGGAUGGCAGGAGAAUUGCUAAGAAAUGUGGCACAACUUCGGUUGUGUGUUAUAUUCUUGGUCGAUACUGCCUGUCUAGACUGAGGACUGCGUCUUUGACUAGGAUGCUGGCAUAAUGACCUUAAGCCGCCC